UGAAAGCUUCUGGAGACCGAAGUCCUCUCUUUAUCCACAAGACAGGAACAGCAUGGGCAGUGGCAAUGUGAGCUUUCCUACACUGCCCCAGCAAGGUGACUCAGCUCUCACUUCUAGGGGUGAUAGAGAAAUUAAUUCCUUAUGUGAAUUAAUUCCCUGACCUCA
rnacentral:sRNA from 1 species